rnacentral:rRNA from 1 species
UCCCAGACUCCUACGGGAGGCAGCAGUGGGGAAUAUUGCACAAUGGGGGAAACCCUGAUGCAGCGACGCCGCGUGAGUGAAGAAGUAUUUCGGUAUGUAAAGCUCUAUCAGCAGGGAAGAAAAUGACGGUACCUGAUUAAGAAGCCCCGGCUAACUAUGUGCCAGCAGCCGCGGUAAUACAUAGGGGGCAAGCGUUAUCCGGAAUUAUUGGGUGUAAAGGGUGCGUAGACGGGUGUUUAAGUUGGUUGUGAAAUCCCUCGGCUCAACUGAGGAACUGCAACCAAGACUGGAUAUCUUGAGUGUCGGAGAGGAAAGUGGAAUUCCUAGUGUAGCGGUGAAAUGCGUAGAUAUUAGGAGGAACACCAGUGGCGAAGGCGACUUUCUGGACGAUAACUGACGUUGAGGCACGAAAGUGUGGGGAGCAAACAGGAUUAGAUACCCGAGUA